AGCAGCCGCGGUAAUUCCAGCUCCAAUAGCGUAUAUUAAAGUUGUUGCAGUUAAAAAGCUCGUAGUUGAAUUUCGGGAUUGACACAUCGGUCGUGCCUUAAGGGGUGUGAACUGGUGUAGUCAAUUUCUCACCUUCUGGAGAACCGCGAUGUCCUUAAUUGGGUGCCGCGAGGAACCAGGACCUUUACUUUGAAAAAAUUAGAGUGUUUAAAGCAGGCAUUUUUGCUUGAAUACAUUAGCAUGGAAUAAUAAAAUAGGACGGCAUGAUUCUAUUUUGUUGGUUUCUAGGACCACCGUAAUGAUUAAUAGGGAUAGUUGGGGGCAUUAGUAUUCAAUUGUCAGAGGUGAAAUUCUUGGAUUUAUUGAAGACUAACUACUGCGAAAGCAUUUGCCAAGGAUGUUUUCAUUAAUCAAGAACGAAAGUUAGGGAAUCGAAGACGAUCAGAUACCGUCGUAGUCUUAACCAUAAACUAUGCCGACUAGGAAUCAGACGAUGUUAAUUUUUUAAUGACUCGUUUGGCACCUUACG
rnacentral:rRNA from 1 species